CAGUCGCCACGGGAAUACGUAGGGUGCGAGCGUUAAUCGGAAUUACUGGGCGUAAAGCGUGCGCAGGCGGUUUUGUAAGACAGGCGUGAAAUCCCCGGGCUCAACCUGGGAAUGGCGCUUGUGACUGCAAAGCUAGAGUGCGGCAGAGGGGGAUGGAAUUCCGCGUGUAGCAGUGAAAUGCGUAGAUAUGCGGAGGAACACCGAUGGCGAAGGCAAUCCCCUGGGCCUGCACUGACGCUCAUGCACGAAAGCGUGGGGAGCAAACAGGAUUAGAUACCCCCGUAGUCCCUGUCUCUUAUAC
rnacentral:rRNA from 1 species